UUGAUUCUCUUGAUUGUUUAUCAUGUUUUCUUUCCAAGGGUUUGCUUCGUGAACUUCAAAAUAAAAAUAUUAAUAAGAGUUAGUAUUCUCUAAUGUUCAUUUAGUUGUUUAACUUUUUGAUCAGAUGUUAAAAUUGUUUCUUUUCCUUGUUUAGAUUGGAUUUUGUGUUCAUGGGGGCUGAAUUUUAUAGGGAAAUUCUGCGUUAUUCAUGAAACUGGAAGUUUUCCCCCUUUUGGAUCUUAUUGGAUUGAUUGACUAAAGACCAUGGUUGUGUAGGAUAGUCCAAGUCAGUUUAUCCCUUUUAAUCUGAUUCAUUUUUAGAACAAUUGAAUAAUUAUAAUUACAUGGGCUAAAUCACAAGCCAAAACAAAGGUUGUUCUGGUGGAAGAAAAAUUUUGAUGCACGUUAUGGCCGAUUGGUAGUGAUCUACCGUGACUGUCUUCUUUGUGUCAUGGCCACUGGAUGAUUUGUAGAUCUUUUACGCUUGGUCUUGUUUGCAUGAUAUAUGAUUCUGUUAUAUAAUUUCUACCCCUGAAAAUUCAAGUUUGAUUAUAUAGCAGUUCAAUAAUUUUAUAAUUUGAUGGAGUUGCUAUAUCUGUUAAGUACUUAAUUCCUUGGAAUUGUUUCUACAUGUUUGUGAUGAAAAACUGGUAACUGGAAACAUCUAUGAUGAGUAUUUCCCAUCUGUUCAAUGAACUGUGCAAAUUUGUUAACUGUAGUCAUUUUGAGAUCUGAAUUUGUUAUUCUGAUCUGAGCAUUGUUGGUGUUACACAAGAAGUGAAAAAAUUAAAAUCCAUUCACAACCUUUUGUAGGAUAUAGAAUCUGUUGAGAAAA
rnacentral:misc_RNA from 1 species